rnacentral:lncRNA from 1 species
UGCUUACAUCCUGUUUCUGUUACUGUUAGAGCUACUGAUGCACUUUACAGUCAUAUCUGAUUAGUACCGGCCAAGUGGCAUUAUUUGAUGGGUCAUUAUUUGUCUGGAGGUUGGGGCACUUCCUUCCAGAGAGAUUCAGUACUGGGACAGGAUGAGGUGCAGGUCCUUGCUGCCCACAUC